rnacentral:rRNA from 1 species
UACGGGGGGGGCAAGCGUUGUUCGGAAUUACUGGGCGUAAAGGGCUCGUAGGCGGCCAACUAAGUCAGACGUGAAAUCCCUCGGCUUAACCGGGGAACUGCGUCUGAUACUGGAUGGCUUGAGUUCGGGAGAGGGAUGCGGAAUUCCAGGUGUAGCGGUGAAAUGCGUAGAUAUCUGGAGGAACACCGGUGGCGAAGGCGGCAUCCUGGACCGACACUGACGCUGAGGCACGAAAGCGUGGGGAUCAAACAGG